GAUUUUUCAUUUCAUUAAAAAUGAACUUUUGAUUGAUGUAUGUGUAAAUUGUAUGUCAUUAAGCUUGACUGGUUCUUAAGUUUCAUGCAAAAAGUACAAUUAUGCUUUGUGGAAAUAACUUAAUUCGUAGCUGGUAGACCCAAAGCAGUAAAUUUUUCUGUAAUGAUGUUUGCUCCAUAGGAAACUACUCGGAAGAAAUUGGAAAGUGUCAUUUGUACCUAUGGCUCUGACAUAGUUGCCAUGAAAUGUCAAGGGACCCAAUCUAGGCUAAAUAUAAUAAGUAAUGGUUUUAUCUACCUCCUGUGGGGCCCAACAAUCCUAUUAAUCAUUUGCCUUAAAUAAUAAAUUCUGAUGACUGCUUCCCUAUAAAACCAGUAUUUCCCCUAGUCUUUCCUCAUCACUGAUUACAUACAGAAGAGUCUGAGAGAGUCAGAUCAUUCACCUAUUGCCUGUGAAUCAGUGUGACUACUGUGUCUAAAGUUUUCUAGGUCACCCUCAAGAAAACUGGGUCAAAUUAUUCCAAAGGGUUAAAAAAAAAAGUUGGUCCUCGAUAUUUACUUUAUGUAUUUUGUAAAGUGGUUAGUGUUGUCAAUGUUAUUUUUGUAUGUAUAUUUAUUCCGACAUGAUAUUGUGGUGGCUUGCCAAAAUAAGUUUUACGAGAGAUAGGCUUUGCAUCUUUUUAAAAGUGCUGCUAUAUCUUAUGGGAUUUGCAUUUCAUUUUAUUUAUAUACAUAUGUUAAAGUGACUCAUGCAGAUUUGUGUCAGAAAUGCGAAUCUGGUGAGGAUUAGCAGAAUUUUCUUUUGACUGAUCCCGAACAGAUAUCAGCUGAUAAUUACCUCAAAAACAUCACAGAUUAUUUUUCAUAGAAUAUACAUAGUCAUCAGAGAUCAUAACAAUAGCGUCAUUAAUGUAAUACCACCAUGUUAUAACGCUUCAACUGUCUCUCAUACCCUGACCCGAUUUUCCAAAGGAAACUUGAUUCAAAUUUUGCAACGGAAAUAUCAUAAUCACAAUGAUUAGGUCCUUAGCUAUCCUUAAAUGCAAGUAUAUCUGCAUUGUCAUCAAAUGGGCCUAAGUCAAUUAGAGAAGCUUUGUUGUCCAAAACAUUAAAAUAUCUAUUGUUGAUCCAUGCUGUUCAUAAUUAGAGUAAUUUGCUUUAUACAUUAAUAAUGCCAGGUAGAAAGGGAUUAAAGAAAAUGUUAUUUAAGAAUUUCAAUGAAUACUUUUUUUUUGAAAAAUGAAAACAGAAAAUUUUACAGGUGUGUUGUUAUAUCUAUAGAGGUAAUACACACUGGGUGUUACUGAUAUCUUAACAUCAUUGUGUGAAACUACCAUCGACACGCGCUGUCAUGUAAUCCCUAUACCACAUUAGCAGAAUUUGUUUCCAUUAUGCAGUGUUUAGAUGUCUAAAAAGCACAACAUAUGACAUCAUUUUUUGUAAUCAUAUACAAGUAAAUAUAUCCCAUUUUUCCCAAAUUGGAAAAUUGAUUUUAAAUUACAGGAUUUGUGACAUCAGUGUUUAAUACUUUCUAUACAAAUCAGUAUCGAUCUUCCCAUAAUAACCUAUAGAAAUGAGGUCAAUAUUUUUGCCACAUUUUCAGUCAAACAACCAGUGGCUUAUUAGUCAUUUUCUUCCCCCCUUUUUUUUACAGGGCUUCAGAAGAAUUCAUGAUGUGGUGUAGCUGAACCAGACAAGCAACAUGAACUGGCGAGUUCAUAUGUUCAAGUUGUAUCAACAUACAUGAGACCAGUAAUGAGGACUCAGUGCAGGGAAAGCUGAUAAGGACAAUUUCUAAUCCUGUGUAUGGAACCCAUCAAAAGCCGAAGUGUGUCACCCUAGUAACAGCUACUAGAAAGGGCAGGGAGGCAGAAUCAGGAAUAAAAGUGCCACUUGUCACCCCCAUCUUUCUCUCCUACCAUCUUGCAAUAGGACAACAGCCUGCAUUAUCAGGACCUUCUGUGAAGAACAAUUAUUCUUUUUGCCCUAUCAUUAUGCAGAUGAAUCAGCAAUUCAUAUUGAUUUCUCCAUUAAAAAGGAAACUUUUUAUCCAUUACCAUAUGUUUGUUUUUGUUUUGGUGAUUAAAUUCUUGAACUUA